AUAUGAUUAAAAGAAGAAAAAAAAAAAAAAUCAGAUUGUGAAUUUCCUCUGCCCUCCUCCUGUUCAUGUUCUCUCUCGGCCAAACCCUCAAAUAUCACCACCAUAGCUUAUUCAUCAAUAUUCUUUCAAGAAACUCACACAUGCAUUUGAUAAAUUGUAAAUCUUAACCCAUUAGACAAUUAAAUAAGCUUAUUGACAGUGAUUUGAGAGUAAAUCAACCAAGGAGAAAGGGUAUUAAGGUUAGGGUUCUUUGAAGAUUUGGGGAAAAAGGUAGAGCUUUGGAGAAGAUCUAGGAUUUGGGAGGAAAUAGAGUAAAGAAGGAACAUUGGGAGCUUGAAGAACCAACUUUCAUCCUUAGAAUCAAGGUAUAAGCCAUUUUGGAGUCAAUCGGAGCCGGAUCACAAGAGUCUAGGUUUAGGAUCCUGAGUUGAAAUUUUAACCUUACUCGCAAUUUUGUAAAAAGGAUGCCAAAUUCUAUUUGAGUCAUAUAAUAAUUUUAAGACUUAGGUUUACAAUUA